GCUCACAGUAAACUGAAGACAUGGAUGCAAUCCUGUGCUGAUGAGGUGGCACAUUCACUGACCCAGGACAACGAGUAAGAGUAUGAGCCAGACGGACUCCCGGAGCUGGUCAGAAAAGGCUUUGCUGAUAUUCCUACUGGGAAAACCAACCUCUGUGUUUUGCGCAGAACAGCGCUAAACCUAAAGACCAGUCCCCGUCUUGCUGCUCAAAGCCAAAAUUUGUCACCAUAUGGCCAACGUUUACAGAAAGGCAGGUCAGAUAAUUUUGCCAAGAUCUCUAAACCGACAGCUGGUGGCAGCAAAUCACCAAAGGUAGAUGAUACUCAACGGUGCCAAGCAGAAACAACUAUUGAACCCAUGGAAUCUAGUUCAAGAUCUCCUCUUUGCAUAAAUAAGCAACCCACAAAAGCUGUUGCUGAGACCUCUAGGGAGAAUCUUAACACACACAAAGGCAGAUGUUCCUUCAGCAGAAAAACAUUACCUGAUCGGAAUGAACAAGACAAAAACUGUAUGGUACAGUAAACCUGAGUAGUAUAGGUAGUAUACCAUGAAACAAACCCUAACCGCACCCUUUGACCCCUUAAACUCUGCCACUUGACCCCUUAAACCCCACCCACCUGUCACCAAAAGUCCCGCUCCGGGGGGUAUUACUCCCAGGGUCAAGAUGCCACAUGACCGGAAGCAAGGUGUGUCAUGUGACCAUCCUCUACCAAUCAGGAAGGGUUUCAGCCGCUGGGGACCACCCCGAGAGGAGAUUUGACCAAUCAAGGCA